rnacentral:rRNA from 1 species
GACGAACGCUGGCGGCGUGCCUAACACAUGCAAGUCGAACGGAAAGACCCUGCGUUUGUGGGGUGCUCGAGUGGCGAAGGGGUGAGUAACACGUGAGUAACCCGCCCCUGUCUUUGGGAUAACUUUAGGAAACUGGGGCUAAUACCGGAUAGGAGCUCCUGCUGCAUGGUGGGGGUUGGAAAGUGUCGGCGUUUGGGGAUGGACUCGCGGCUUAUCAGCUUGUUGGUGGGGUAGUGGCUUACCAAGGCUUUGACGGGUAGCCGGCCUGAGAGGGUGAACGGCCACAUUAGGACUGAGAUACGGACCAGACUCCUACGGGAGGCAGAAGUGGGGAAUAUUGCACAGUGAGCGGGAGCCUGAUGCAGCAGCGCCGCGAGCGGGAUGACGUCCUUCUGGUUGUGAACCGCUUUCGCCUGUGACGAAGCGUGAGUGACGGUAAUGGGUAAGAAAGCACCGGCUAACUACGUG